UGUACUGGCUAGUAAUUACUCCCUUUCUCUAUCUCUCUCUCUCUCUCUCUCUUUCUCUCUCUCUCCGCUCUUCCAAUGUAUACCGGAAGAAGAACACUGAGAGCAAUAAUCUAUUGAUGUACGCGUUCUCGGAUUUGGUUACAUAAUCUGCCGAUCUGAUGUGUUGGCGGCGCAUGCAUUCUCAGAAUUGAAGUGGUAGAACGGCGAUCGAGGAGAGUCGGAGAAUUGAAGAUCGGAUUAAGAAGGAGGAGGUCUGGCCGGGUUAAGGUUUAAGGCGAUACUGAGUAGAAUAGGGGUAUGUAGGAGGCGGCGGCGGCGGAAGAGGCUGCUGAGGAUAAAAGUGAUGGGCGGUUGGUGGCGGAAGCUGGUUUUUCCGGUCAGAAGAAUCUGGUUCGCCGUCUCUGCUCGCGUUAAGGCUCGCAAUCAUGGUGGAGGGCUUUUGAAGCUGCACGACGAUAUACAAACAUGUGGGUACGAGGAUGUUCAUGUGAUGUGGGAGAUGUUGAGGAGAACAGAGUCGUCGGAGUUUAUAUCUGAGCCCAAUAACCGGAAGCCACAGCGACCAUUCUGGAGAAAUUUUUGUAUGGUUCAACCACACUGAUCUGAGGAUCACUCGCUCAGCUCAUUCAUCUUUCUACAUGCCCAAUUGCCCAUUCAUCACCAAACACCAUGCUGUAGGGCUCCAAUACUAAAGCCUCUCUCUCGCUCUCUAUAUAUUUGUAUUAAUGUAUAUGUAUAUGUCAAUACAUACAAAGUAUAUAUGCAUGUGUAUCUAUCUACUUUUAUAUUCAUGGAAACUUUUGUGAUUAGAUUUUUGUGCCCUAUAUAUGCAAUAAUAGUUUUCUUGUAUUA